GAUCCUGGCUCAGGACGAACGCUGGCGGCGUGCCUAACACAUGCAAGUCGAGCGAAUGAAGUUCCUUCGGGAACGGAUUUAGCGGCGGACGGGUGAGUAACACGUGGGCAACCUGCCUCAUAGAGGGGAAUAGCCUUCCGAAAGGGAGAUUAAUACCGCAUAAGAUUGUAGUACCGCAUGGUACAGCAAUUAAAGGAGUAAUCCGCUAUGAGAUGGGCCCGCGGCGCAUUAGCUAGUUGGUGAGG
rnacentral:rRNA from 1 species